CUUGCAACCAGGGGCUGAUGUGUACCUUCUGCUGCCUCUUCAAGAAUUCCGUUUCCGACGUGAAUGUUCACAUCUGCUUUCUAGACCUGCUGACAGAACUCAGGAAUCUGAGUGCUGGUUUAAGAAAGAGGGAGAAGCAGCCUGGCCGAGGCAGAGGCAAGGUA
rnacentral:lncRNA from 1 species